CGAAACCAGGUGAUCUACCCUUGGUCAGGUUGAAGUUCAGGUAACACUGAAUGGAGGACAGAACCGACUUACGUUGAAAAGUGAGCGGAUGAACUGAGGGUAGCGGAGAAAUUCCAAUCGAACCUGGAGAUAGCUGGUUCUCUCCGAAAUAGCUUUAGGGCUAGCCUCAAGUGAUGAUUAUUGGAGGUAGAGCACUGUUUGGACGAGGGGCCCCUCUCGGGUUACCGAAUUCAGACAAACUCCGAAUGCCAAUUAAUUUAACUUGGGAGUCA
rnacentral:rRNA from 1 species